rnacentral:rRNA from 1 species
UACGGGGGGAGCAAGCGUUGUUCGGAUUUACUGGGCGUAAAGGGCGCGUAGGCGGCGCAACAAGUCACUUGUGAAAUCUCCGGGCUUAACCCGGAGCGGCCAAGUGAUACUGUCGUGCUAGAGUGCGGAAGGGGCUACUGGAAUUCUCGGUGUAGCGGUGAAAUGCGUAGAUAUCGAGAGGAACACCUGCGGCGAAGGCGGGUAGCUGGGCCGACACUGACGCUGAGGCGCGAAGACCAGGGGAGCGAACGGG